ACUCCUACGGGAGGCAGCAGUGGGGAAUAUUGCACAAUGGGGGAAACCCUGAUGCAGCAACGCCGCGUGAGUGAUGAAGGUCUUCGGAUCGUAAAGCUCUGUCUUCAGGGACGAUAAUGACGGUACCUGAGGAGGAAGCCACGGCUAACUACGUGCCAGCAGCCGCGGUAAUACGUAGGUGGCGAGCGUUGUCCGGAUUUACUGGGCGUAAAGGGAGCGUAGGCGGAUUUUUAAGUGAGAUGUGAAAUACCCGGGCUCAACUUGGGUGCUGCAUUUCAAACUGGAAGUCUAGAGUGCAGGAGAGGAGAGUGGAAUUCCUAGUGUAGCGGUGAAAUGCGUAGAGAUUAGGAAGAACACCAGUGGCGAAGGCGACUCUCUGGACUGUAACUGACGCUGAGGCUCGAAAGCGUGGGGAGCAAACAGGAUUAGAUACCCUGGUAGUC
rnacentral:rRNA from 1 species